rnacentral:rRNA from 1 species
AAUAGAUACCCAGGUAGUCCACGCCGUAAACGAUGAGUGCUAAGUGUUAGAGGGUUUCCGCCCUUUAGUGCUGCAGCUAACGCAUUAAGCACUCCGCCUGGGAGUACGGUCGCAAGACUGAAACUCAAAGGAAUUGACGGGGGCCCGCACAAGCGGUGGAGCAUGUGGUUUAAUUCGAAGCAACGCGAAGAACCUUACCAGGUCUUGACAUCCCACUGACCGGUAUAGAGAUAUACCUUUCCCUUCGGGGACAGUGGUGACAGGUGGUGCAUGGUUGUCGUCAGCUCGUGUCGUGAGAUGUUGGGUUAAGUCCCGCAACGAGCGCAACCCUUGAUCUUAGUUGCCAGCAUUUAGUUGGGCACUCUAAGGUGACUGCCGGUGACAAACCGGAGGAAGGUGGGGAUGACGUCAAAUCAUCAUGCCCCUUAUGACCUGGGCUACACACGUGCUACAAUGGAUGGUACAAAGGGCUGCAAGACUGCGAAGUCAAGCCAAUCCCAUAAAACCAUUCUCAGUUCGGAUUGC